UCUCAACUCAGAGUUUGAAGACGUGCAGGAGCAGGCUGUUUGGGCUUUGGGGAACAUUGCGGGAGACAGCGCUGUGUGCAGAGAUUAUGUGCUAAACUGUAAUAUCCUUUCUCCUCUACUAAUGCUGCUGACCAAAUCAACUCGUCUCACAAUGACCAGGAAUGCUGUGUGGGCCUUGUCCAACCUCUGCAGA